rfam:Candidatus Adlerbacteria bacterium RIFCSPHIGHO2_12_FTLL_53_18 rifcsphigho2_12_scaffold_6511, whole genome shotgun sequence.
UCCAUCUAUAUAGACAUCAGUCUAUAUGAUGUUUGAUUGUCAGGCGGGGAAGCAAGGUGUGAUUCCUUCGCAGUGCCGCUACGGUGUGUGGCUGUGUCCAGCCACGAGCCCGAAUACCGCAUGACACAUUAUCCGU